rnacentral:rRNA from 1 species
GUGGGAAUCUGGCCUCUAGAGGGGGAUAACUCGGGGAAACUCGGGCUAAUACCGCAUAAUCUCUAAGGAGGAAAGCGGGGGACCGAAAGGCCUCGCGCUGGGGGAUGAGCCUGCGUCCGAUUAGCUAGUUGGUGGGGUAAGGGCCUACCAAGGCGAUGAUCGGUAGCUGGUCUGAGAGGACGAUCAGCCACACUGGGACAGAGACACGGCCCAGACUCCUACGGGAGGCAGCAGUGGGGAAUAUUGGACAAUGGGGGCAACCCUGAUCCAGCAAUGCCGCGUGGGUGAAGAAGGCUUUCGGGUUGUAAAGCCYUUYMRKKGGGRAAGAAAAGCGAUGUGUGAAUAGCACAUCGUGUUGACGUUACCUACAGAAGAAGCACCGGCUAACUCCGUGCCAGCAGCCGCGGUAAUACGGAGGGUGCGAGCGUUAAUCGGAAUUACUGGGCGUAAAGGGCGCGUAGGCGGUUUGGUAAGUUGGGUGUGAAAGCCCCGGGCUCAACCUGGGAAUGGCACUUGAUACUGCCUGGCUAGAGUAUGGUAGAGGGAGGCGGAAUUUCCGGUGUAGCGGUGAAAUGCGUAGAUAUCGGAAGGARCACCAGUSGCGAAGGCGGCCUCCUGGACCACUACGACGCUKAGGUGCGAAAGCGUUGGGAGCAACCAGGAUUAGAUACCCUGGUAGUCCACGCCCUUAACGAUUAGAACUAGACCGUGGGAGGGAUAGCCUUUCAGUGUUGCAACUAACGCGUUAAGUUCUCCGCCUGGGGAGUACGGCCGCAAGGUUCGAAACUCAAAUAAAUUGACGGGGGCCCGCACAAGCGGUGAAGCAUGUGGUUUAAUUCGAUGCAACGCGAAGAACCUUACCUGGCCUUGACAUCCCCGGAACUUUGCUAAGAGGCGAAGGUGCUUCGGGAGCCGGGAGACAGGUGCUGCAUGGCUGUCGUCAGCUCGCG